CAUCAACAACAAAGUUGUAUAACUCAUCAAUAUCUAUAACUUUUAUUUUGGUCAUUUCUUCAUCCGACAAAGUGAUAGUAACAUUGUUCACAAAAUUUACAUCUAUCUCAUAGGUUAUAAAACCAAAUAUGAGAUAGAUGUAAAUUUUGUGAACAAUAUUAAAAUCAUUUUGUCGGAUGAAGAAAUGACCAAAAUAAAAGUUAUAGAUAUUAAUGAGUUAUACAACUUUGAUGUUGAUG
rnacentral:pre_miRNA from 1 species